rnacentral:rRNA from 1 species
UACGUAGGGUGCGAGCGUUGUCCGGAAUUAUUGGGCGUAAAGAGCUCGUAGGCGGUGUGUCACGUCGGCCGUGAAAACCUGCAGCUUAACUGUGGGCGUGCGGUCGAUACGGGCAUCACUGGAGUUCGGCAGGGGAGACUGGAAUUCCUGGUGUAGCGGUGAAAUGCGCAGAUAUCAGGAGGAACACCUGCGGCGAAGGCGGGUUGCUGGGCUGAUACUGACGCUGAGGCGCGAAGGCCAGGGGAGCAAACGGGG